rnacentral:rRNA from 1 species
GAUGAACGCUAGCGGCAGGCCUAACACAUGCAAGUCGAGGGGUAACGGGGUGCUUGCACCGCCGACGACCGGCGCACGGGUGCGUAACGCGUAUACAAUCUACCUUUUGCUAUUGGAUAGCCCAGAGAAAUUUGGAUUAAUACAAUAUAGUACCGUAUCACUGCAUGGUGUUUACGGUUAAAGGUCACGGCAAAAGAUGGGUAUGCGUCCUAUUAGCUAGAUGGUGUGGUAACGGCACACCAUGGCCACGAUAGGUAGGGGCCCUGAGAGGGGGAUCCCCCACACUGGUACUGAGACACGGACCAGACUCCUACGGGAGGCAGCAGUGAGGAAUAUUGGACAAUGGGGGCAACCCUGAUCCAGCCAUGCCGCGUGCAGGAAGACUGCCCUAUGGGUUGUAAACUGCUUUUAUACGGGAAGAAACCCUGCUACGUGUAGCAGCUUGACGGUACCGUAAGAAUAAGGAUCGGCUGACUCCGUGCCAGCAGCCGCGGUAAUACGGAGGAUCCAAGCGUUAUCCGGAAUCAUUGGGUUUAAAGGGUCCGUAGGUGGAUGGUUAAGUCAGGGGUGAAAGUCUGCAGCUCAACUGUAGAAUUGCCUUUGAUACUG